GAUGAACGCUGGCGGCGUGCCUAAUACAUGCGAGUCGAGCGAACAGAUAAGGAGCUUGCUCCUUUGACGUUAGCGGCGGACGGGUGAGUAACACGUGGGUAACCUACCUAUAAGACUGGGAUAACUUCGGGAAACCGGAGCUAAUACCGGAUAACAUUUGGAACCGCAUGGUUCUAAAGUGAAAGAUGGUUUUGCUAUCACUUAUAGAUGGACCCGCGCCGUAUUAGCUAGUUGGUAAGGUAACGGCUUACCAAGGCAACGAUACGUAGCCGACCUGAGAGGGUGAUCGGCCACACUGGAACUGAGACACGGUCCAGACUCCUACGGGAGGCAGCAGUAGGGAAUCUUCCGCAAUGGGCGAAAGCCUGACGGAGCAACGCCGCGUGAGUGAUGAAGGGGUUCGGCUCGUAAAACUCUGUUAUUAGGGAAGAACAAAUGUGUAAGUAACUGUGCACGUCUUGACGGUACCUAAUCAGAAAGCCACGGCUAACUACGUG
rnacentral:rRNA from 1 species